rnacentral:lncRNA from 1 species
UUUAAGAACAGAUGGAGUAUUUCUAAUGUAAUUUUUGUCAACUAAUAAUGAGAAAUUGUGAAGUUCAAAAACAUUAAUUACAUUUUUAAAAUUCUUAUUGGUUUUAAAAUAUAAAAAAAAAAAAUUACAAAAAAACUAUGCAUUUAUAGAUAAAUUUUAUUAAGUUUUAUUAAAAAAUGUGAAAAUUCUAAAAUAUUAAUCUUUUACGAAAGGAGAGAAUAAAUAUCAAGUACAGUAUGAGGUUCUCUAAACCUGCUUUGUAAAUUGGAAUGAGAAGACUUGUUUCCCAGACAGAACAAAUUCUGCCCAUGUGAACACUAGUUACUUCUCCAAG